rnacentral:rRNA from 1 species
ACGAACGCUGGCGGCGUGCUUAACCCAAGCCAGGCGGACGGAAAGGCCCCUUUGGGGGUGCUCGAGUGGCGAGCGGGUGAGGAACACGUGAGUAACCUGCCCUUGACUUCGGGAUAACUUCAGGUAACUGGGGCUAAUACCGGAUAGGAAUCCUUGCUGCAUGGUGGGGGUUGGAAAGCAUCGUGGGUUUUGGAUGGACUCGCGGCGCAUCGGCUUGGUUGGGGGGUAGGGGCUUACCAAGGCAUUGACGGGUAGCCGGCCUGGGAGGGGGACCGGCCCACUUGGGACCUGGAUACGGCCCAGGCUCCUACGGGGGGCAGCAGGGGGGAAUAUUGCCCCAUGGGCGGGAGCCUGGUGCAGGAACCCCGCGGGCGGGAUGACCGCCUUCGGGUUGUAAACCGCCUUCAGCAGGGGAGAAGCCUGUGGUGACGGUACCUGCAGAAGAAGCACCGGCUAACUACGUG